rnacentral:piRNA from 1 species
UCCAGAUGCCAAAACUCUGUGUUGCUGCA